rnacentral:rRNA from 1 species
GACGAACGCUGGCGGCGUGCUUAACACAUGCAAGUCGAACGGAAAGGCCCUGCUUUUGUGGGGUGCUCGAGUGGCGAACGGGUGAGUAACACUUGAGUAACCUGCCCUUGCCUUUGGGAUAACGUCAGGCAACUGGGGCUAAUACCGGAUAGGAGCUCCUGCUGCAUGGUGGGGGUUGGAAAGUUUCGGCGGUUGGGGAUGGACUCGCGGCUUAUCAGCUUGUUGGUGGGGUAGUGGCUUACCAAGGCUUUGACGGGUAGCGGGCCUGAGAGGGUGACCGGCAACAUGGGGACUGAGAUACGGCCCGGACUCCUACGGGAGGCAGCAGUGGGGAAUAUUGCACAAUGGGCGGAAGCCUGAUGCAGCAACGCCGCGUGCGGGAUGACGGCCUUCGGGUUGUAAACCGCUUUCGCCUGUGACGAAGCGUGAGUGACGGUAAUGGGUAAAGAAGCACCGGCUAACUACGUG